GAAAGUGGGCCGGAAGCGGACGUGUUGAGAGAAGGUGGAGGAUGCGCCCGGGACAGCAGAAAUCUGGCCUCGAACUUGCGAUCCUCUUGCCUAAACCUCCCUAGUAGCAUGCAGUUGGGAUUACAGACAUGCACCAUGACACCCAGCUUCUCAUCAGUUUUGAGUAUGAGCAACAACCAAGAGUUUGCAGGAUCUGGGGAAAACUUAAAACAAAGAUUGGCAGGCAAACCAGGUCAAACUCAUGAAGAAUUUUUUUCCUUUUACAUUUUGAAAGGAUUGUCUGAAGCAAAACAAAAGAAGCAAAGAAUAUGUUGCUGAGACCCUAUGUGGCCCAGAAGGCCUCAAAUAUUUACCAUCCGGCCCUUUACAGAAAAUGUUUGCCAACCCGCUGGAACAGAAAAACUAGAUACCAUGCAGGAAAAGCAUCAGAUAGAAUUAUUAAUAUGUAAAAUAAAUAUCUUAAGGAAUUAUUAAAAAUACAAAGAAUAAAAAAAUGCAACAGAAUUAUCAAGUUAAAAAAACAACAAAGAAAAAAGAUAAUGUGGAUAGAAAAUUCAAAAAGAAAAGACCAAUCCAGAAAGUUAAAAUCCAAAGAGCAGGAGUUGCAGAAAGAAGGAACUCUUCAACAAAAUAAUUGAUGAAAAUGUCCUUGGACUACAGGUUUUUAUAUUUUCUUGACUGAGUCUCCAUAGCUAAAAAAGUCUUAAGUAUUCAACACAAUGUACAAAAGGACUCCUUAUCAAGAUCAUUGUAAACUUUCACAAUAAUGAGGACAAAGGUAUCUAAAUGUUUUGGGGGCUGGAUGGGUAUUGAGGGUGUAGCCUGAUGGCAGACCAUGUGUUCAGUUAACAUGAUCUAGGCCCUGGGUUUGUUCCCCUGCACCAAAACCCAACAACAACAACAAAAAGCUUUCAGAGAAGAAAAACAAGCAUCCCAAAGUUCAGAUAUCAAAUGGUUUUAAAACUUUUGAAGUGUCACAUGGAGGCAGGAAGAUGAAAAAGCCAAAUCCCUUUAAAAAUUCAGAAGGAAAUCAAUUUCAAACCUAGAAUCUUUACCCAAGCAAAUAUUUCUAAAUGUGCAAAUGGAAUAGACAUUUUAAGGCACAGGUCUUAAGAUCUUGGGAGCCUUUUUGUUGGAAGGAGUACAGUACUGAUUUCUUUACAGGUUUGCACUUGCUAAGUGAUUUUUUUUUUUUCAAUCAAUGUUCAAUUCAUUGUUAAGAAUAUAGUUGAUAGAAAAAUAAAAUGAUUGACUCCUUUCUAAAUAUAUGCACUUACAUUUUUAAUGGUUUUUAAAAGUUAUAUACAUCAACUGUAAAAUAUUUGAGAAUAGGUUUUAUGUUUUUAUAUAGUUUAUAUUUUUUGGAAUUCACAUUUUUUUUUUUUUUAAUUACAAAAUAAGUGCCCUACAAAGCCAACAUGGCACAUAAACUCAAUUCAGGCAUCCAAUCUUGAUGGUUAUAUGAAUGUGAAUAUCAUACUUAAAUAUUUUCCUGAUGUUUACAAAAGGAUUUUAUUAGAAAAUUUAUUUUGGGACAGGGAUGUAGAUCAGUGGUAGAGCACUUGCCUAGCAUAUACAAGGCCUGGGUUGAUCCCCACCCAGCACUGGAAAUAAAUAAAUAAAGUGAGUAUAUGCCUAGAAUUCUGUAUCCCAUGUAUGAGAAAAACCAAAUGCCUCCAGUAGCAUUUUGCUGAAAGACUGCAAAAGGAAAUUUUUUCAAAAGAAUGGCAGCCAGGGCUGAAGGUGUGAUGUGCAACCCCUCGUAAGCUGGCCCCAAAGAAACUAGACUUUUUAAGGCGUGUUAAAUUAGAAGAGCUUCUUAAAUUUCUUCCAAAAAAUAAUUUCAUAGUAGCAUACUAACAUUUUUAAUGUUUUAACACCUCAUUUUGAAAGGUGCAGUCAUUUUUCCUUAAGAGACAAUGAUUUUCUUAAGUUGUUUAUUGUAAGAUAAUUUACAAACAUCUUGCUGUCUUUAGUAAUUCAAACAAUGAACCACAUUUCUUCUGACAGACAGCAGUAAGCUAAAAAUAAAAUCAGCUCAGAGAAUUUUCCUUCUUUACCUGAAAAAGAAAAGUAAAAAACAAGUAAAAACCAUAUAGUAUUUUUUGGGGAAAAUAACGAUGUCAAGAGAUAACAUAUUUUAAUUGGAACAUAAAGAACUGAAUUUAUAAAAUAUUCCAGUGAUUCUCAAAUUUUGGUCUGUGGAAACUUUUUAUAAGGGCAAAACUAUUUUCAUACUACUGUUAUUUUUUGUUUUAUUCUCAUUUUAUUCAUAGAGUGUAUCAUGAUUUUUCAGAGGCUACAUGAUGCAUGACAUCACAACAAAAUGAAUACAAAGCCAGAUGAAAAUCUAGCUGUCUUCUGUUAAUCAGACAUUAAGGUGUUCUUUGACCAUAAAUUUUGAGAACCACUCUUCACUAACCUACACAUGAUAUCUCAAAAUAAUGUUAAUUCUCAAUCCUUCCAUAUACUUUUCUAUGACCAACCAAUUUAUUAAAAAAUUCCUUAAAGUUUAUUUCCUUCCAUAUCUUUUCUAUGACCAACCAAUUUAUUAAAAAAAAUUUUUUUUUUUUUUUUUUUUU